rnacentral:rRNA from 1 species
UACGUAGGGAGCAAGCGUUGUCCGGAUUUACUGGGUGUAAAGGGUGCGUAGGCGGCACUGCAAGUCAGGCGUGAAAUAUAUGGGCUUAACCCAUAGACUGCGUUUGAAACUGCUUUUCUUGAGUAUCGGAGAGGUAAUCGGAAUUCCUUGUGUAGCGGUGAAAUGCGUAGAUAUACGGAGGAACACCAGUGGCGAAGGCGGCCUGCUGGACAGCAACUGACGCUGAGGCGCGAAAGCGUGGGGAGCAAAC